rnacentral:rRNA from 1 species
ACGAGCGAGAGAGAGCUUGCUUUCUCGAGCGAGUGGCGAACGGGUGAGUAACGCAUGAGGAACCUGCCUCAAAGAGGGGGACAACAGUUGGAAACGACUGCUAAUACCGCAUAAGCCCACAGCUCGGCAUCGAGCAGAGGGAAAAGGAGCAAUCCGCUUUGAGAUGGCCUCGCGUCCGAUUAGCUAGUUGGUGAGGUAAUGGCCCACCAAGGCGACGAUCGGUAGCCGGACUGAGAGGUUGAACGGCCACAUUGGGACUGAGACACGGCCCAGACUCCUACGGGAGGCAGCAGUGGGGAAUAUUGCACAAUGGGGGAAACCCUGAUGCAGCGACGCCGCGUGGAGGAAGAAGGUCUUCGGAUUGUAAACUCCUGUUGUUGAGGAAGAUAAUGACGGUACUCAACAAGGAAGUGACGGCUAACUACGUGCCAGCAGCCGCGGUAAAACGUAGGUCACAAGCGUUGUCCGGAAUUACUGGGUGUAAAGGGAGCGCAGGCGGGAAGGCAAGUUGGAAGUGAAAUCCAUGGGCUCAACCCAUGAACUGCUUUCAAAACUGUUUUUCUUGAGUAGUGCAGAGGUAGGCGGAAUUCCCGGUGUAGCGGUGGAAUGCGUAGAUAUCGGGAGGAACACCAGUGGCGAAGGCG